CAGCCGCCGCGGUAAUACGAAGGGGGCUAGCGUUGCUCGGAAUGACUAGGCGUAAAGGGCGCGUAGGCGGAUUGUUUAGUUAGGCGUGAAAUUCCUGGGCUUAACCUGGGGACUGCGCUUAAUACAGGCAGUCUAGAGUGAGGAAGAGGGUUGUGGAAUUCCCAGUGUAGAGGUGAAAUUCGUAGAUAUUGGGAAGAACACCGGUGGCGAAGGCGGCAACCUGGUCCUUGACUGACGCUGAGGCGCGAAAGCGUGGGGAGCAAACAGGAUUAGAUACCCGGGUAGUCCCUGUCUCUUAUAC
rnacentral:rRNA from 1 species